UCGGGAAUAUUGCGCAAUGGAGGAAACUCUGACGCAGUGACGCCGCGUGCAGGAAGAAGGUUUUCGGAUUGUAAACUGCUUUAGACAGGGAAGAGAAAGGACAGUACCUGUAGAAUAAGCUCCGGCUAACUACGUGCCAGCAGCCGCGGUAAUACGUAGGGAGCGAGCGUUAUCCGGAUUUAUUGGGUGUAAAGGGUGCGUAGACGGGAAUACAAGUUAGUUGUGAAAUACCUCGGCUUAACUGAGGAACUGCAACUAAAACUAUAUUUCUUGAGUACAGGAGAGGUAAGUGGAAUUCCUAGUGUAGCGGUGAAAUGCGUAGAUAUUAGGAGGAACACCAGUGGCGAAGGCGACUUACUGGACUGAAACUGACGUUGAGGCACGAAAGUGUGGGGAGCAAACAGG
rnacentral:rRNA from 2 species